CCUCCUCCCCAUUCCUUCCCCCUCCUCCCAACGUCAGCCAGGCUCCCCCUCUCAUCCCACCACCAAGAAUACCUAUGAAUGUCCCUCCUCCUGGUAAGAACAAUACUCCCAACUAUACUCACUCUUACCAGACAAAAUACACAAUGACAUUCAUGAUGUGGGAAAGACUGAAGAGUUCCACAUAUUGGUAUACUAUACAGGUUUUAUCUGUCUCAAUGUACCCAGUUAGAAUGUGUCAGUGUGGUGAUGUCAUAGUCAUAUUGUGGUAUAGACUCAACAGUUAGAAUGUAUCAGUGUGAUGAUGUCAUAAUGUGGUAUAGACUCAACAGAUAGAAUGUGUCAGUGUGGUGAUGUCAUAAUGCGGUAUAGACAACAGGUAGAAUGUGUGGUGAUGUCAUAAUGUGGUAUAGACUCAACAGUUAGAAUGUGUCAGUGUGUUGAUGUCAUAAUGUGGUAUAGACUCAACAGUUAGAAUGUGUCUGUCUGGUGAUGUCAUAAUGUGGUAUAGACUCAACAGUUGGAAUGUGUCAGUGUGGAGAUGUCAUAAUGUGGUAUAGACUCAACAGGUAGAAUGUGUGGUGUGGUGAUGUCAUAGUCAUAAUGUGGU